GCGGGCGUAGCUCAGCUGGUAGAGCACCACCUUGCCAAGGUGGAUGUCGUGAGUUCGAACCUCAUCGCCCGCUCCA
rnacentral:tRNA from 1 species